rnacentral:rRNA from 1 species
UACAGAGGGUGCGAGCGUUAAUCGGAAUGACUGGGCGUAAAGGGUGCGUAGGCGGUUAAUUAAGUCAGAUGUGAAAAACCUGGGCUCAACCUGGGCUGUGCAUAUGAUACUGGUUAGCUAGAGUAGAGUAGAGGGAAGUGGAAUUUCCGGUGUAGCGGUGAAAUGCGUAGAUAUCGGAAAGAACACCAGUGGCGAAGGCGGCUUCCUGGACUCAUACUGACGCUGAGGCACGAAAGCAUGGGUAGCAAACAGG